rnacentral:rRNA from 1 species
GACGAACGCUGGCGGCGUGCUUAACACAUGCAAGUCGAGCGAUGAAGCUCCUUCGGGAGUGGAUUAGCGGCGGACGGGGGAGUAACACGUGGGUAACCUGCCUCAUAGAGGGGAAUAGCCUUCCGAAAGGAAGAUUAAUACCGCAUAAGAUUGUAGUACCGCAUGGUAUAGCAAUUAAAGGGGCAAUCCGGUAUGAGAUGGACCCGCGUCGCAGUAGCUAGUUGGUGAGGUAACGGCGAACCAAGGCGACGAUGCGUAGCCGUCCUGAGAGGGUGAUCGGCCACCUUGGGCCUGAGCCACGGCCCAGACUCCUACGGGAGGCAGCAGUGGGGAAUAUUGCACAAUGGGGGAAACCCUGAUGCAGCCACGCCGCGUGAGUGAUGACGGUCUUCGGAUUGUAAAGCUCUGUCUUCAGGGACGAUAAUGACGGUACCUGAGGAGGACGCCACGGCUAACUACGUGCCAGCCGCCGCGGUAA